AAGUGGAAUAAGAUUUCAUUUGUUGGUAAAUCAGACUCACAUCAUUUACACUGAAUGAUCACAAAUACAAAAUGUUGACAAUAAUAUGUUCAACUUGAUCCAUAAUAAGUAUUGGCAAAUGCCAAGUCGUACAAGUGGAAUAAGAUUUUCAUUUGUUGGUAAAUCAGACUCACAUCAUUUACACUGAAUGAUCACAAAUACAAAAUGUUGACAAUAAUAUGUUCAACUUAAUCCAUAAUAAGUAUUGGCAAAUGCCAAGUCGUACAAGUGGAAUAAGAUUUCAUUUGUUGGUAAAUCAGACUCACAUCAUUUACACUGAAUGAUCACAAAUACAAAAUGUUGACAAUAAUAUGUUCAACUUAAUCCAUAAGAAAUAUUGGCAAAUGCCAAGUCGUACAAGUGGAAUAAGAUUUCAUUUGUUGGUAAAUCAGACUCACAUCAUUUACACUGAAUGAUCACAAAUACAAAAUGUUGACAAUAAUAUGUUCAACUUAAUCCAUAAUAAGUAUUGGCAAAUGCCAAGUCGUACAAGUGGAAUAAGAUUUCAUUUGUUGGUAAAUCAGACUCACAUCAUUUACACUGAAUGAUCACAAAUACAAAAUGUUGACAAUAAUAUGUUCAACUUUAUCCAUAAAAAGUAUUGGCAAAUGCCAAGUCGUACAAGUGGAAUAAGAUUUCAUUUGUUGGUAAAUCAGACUCAUAUCAUUUACACUGAAUGAUCACAAAUACAAAAUGUUGACAAUAAUAUGUUCAACUUAAUCCAUAAUAAGUAUUGGCAAAUGCCCAAGUCGUACAAGUGGAAUAAGAUUUCAUUUGUUGGUAAAUCAGACUCACAUCAUUUACACUGAAUGAUCACAAAUACAAAAUGUUGACAAUAAUAUGUUCAACUUAAUCCAUAAUAAGUAUUGGCAAAUGCCAAGUCGUACAAGUGGAAAU
rnacentral:lncRNA from 1 species